AGAAAGGAGAAGUAACUCCCUCUAGAACUUACGGGAAAAAAAUCACUCCAUCUCUCCAUCUCUUCCCCUCUUUCUCUCUUCUUCUUCAAGGUAAAUCCCCAAUUGAAACUUAACAACCAUUGCACUCUCAUUCUCGGCGUUAGUUCGAAAAUGGCCCGUCGCCGUCUCUCGAUUCUGCGAUUCAGCGCCGUCGCCCUCUCUCUUCUCUCUCGAAUCUGUCGCCGCCCCUCCGCCAAAUUUCCGCUCUCGGCGAGCAUCACUGAUUAUACACAAAAGUUUUGAUUAUACCCAAAUCUCUGCGCUCAAUUCUCUCCCUCUCGGUUUUACAGAGUGAUUUCUAUCCUUUGGAUUUCUGUUUGAAGAAGAGGAGUUAAGAGCUGGCGUAGGGCGUUUGGGAUUGAAGCUGUACGGUGAGCUCACGGCUGAAUUCCUUAUCGUUGAAUUGGGUGAUUUUCAAUCAGUGGCGUCAGUGGUGUUAUUCAUUAAGGGGUUACAACUUACAAUUUAGGGAUCUGUUGGAGUAUGAAGGAUUUUUAGGGGUUCGAGUAAGCUUUGGGUAUAACAGAGGCACAGUAGGAGGUCGUGUGGCAGGGAACGAAAGGUCAUUUCUACCAUCAGCCCCAUUUCAAAUGAGUCAAAUGGACAUGGAAUACGAAAUACAUAAUCUGGAACAGAUUGCAUACGAUGUUGUUUUACGAGCUUUCAAGGCACAAUCUGAUGCACUCACAUGGGAGAAAGAGGGUCUUAUAACAGAAUUGAGGAAGGAACUCAGGGUGUCAGAUGAUGAGCAUCGAGAACUACUUAGUCAGGUCAAUGGUGAUGACCUCAUUCGCAGGAUCAGAGAGUGGAGGGAGGCAGGUGGUAACCGAAAUAUAGCCCCCAGUGCCCAGCAUAUAAACAACGAGUUACCAAGUCCUACAAUUUCAGCUUCUCGUAAUAUGUUGGGCACUUUUGGAAUAGAUUAGCACUUUAUAAUUUUUAGUACUAGUAUUGUUUGUGUAGUUUAAGUCAAAGAUGACCAACACUUAAUAUUGUUUAGUUUGUGUGUUCAAACACGUUACAUUUUUGUGUAAAAUCAUUUGAUGGUUUGAAUAUUAUUCAAAUAGUUGUCAUUUUA